UGAAAUGUGAUACGUAAUGUGAAUUGCAGAAUUCAGUGAAUCAUCGAAUCUUUGAACGCAAAUUGCGCUCUGGGGUUCCCCCCGGAGCAUGCCUGGUUGAGUAUCAUUAACCAACUCAUCCAAAGUCAAAAGUUUGUGAACUUUCACAAACCUUUUUCCAAGGAUGGAUUUGAGGUUGUCUUGGAUGAAAUAAUUCCAAGUCCCUUUAAGUUCAGAGAUGUGCAACUGACGAAAACCCGUUUGGUUCACAACUUCUGAUGUGGUAAUUGUCCCAGUGGCAUUUUAUAUCAUCAGUUGCUUGUAACUUUGGGCCGUCGACCUCACAUCCAAAGAUCAAACUUACUUGAGGGCUGAUCACUUGUGAUCCCUUCUUGAAACCUUGAUCUCAACUCAGGCAAGA
rnacentral:misc_RNA from 1 species